UCUCUCUCUCUCUCUCUCUCUGUCUCUCUGUCUCUCUCUCUGGCUCUCUUUCAUCUUACUUCCCCUUGCAAACGCAGUGAUACAUGUAAUUCUAACGAUUUUUUUAAGUAUAUCCAGAUCGUUUUAACGAAGGAGAACGUUUCAUCCCUUCUACCUCGACUGUCUCUUUUUAGCCCACCUCAUCGGAAUUUAUUCUAAGUCGAUAUGCCGCGAUUUUCGUGGAUAUUAAAAAAAGAAACAAAAUGAAGAAGAAGGAAACGAAUUGUCUUGCCUUUGAUAACAAACUAAUGAUCUCAGCUGUGUUGUACGUACGUACAUACAUAUAUACAUACAUACAUACAUAGAUACGUAUACCGUAAUCAAUUUCUAAUGGAUUACGGCUAAGUUCUCCGAAAUUUCGGAAAUUUUCUGCGCGUUUUCUCGAACGUGUGUCUGAUAUAGUAGUAGUGCGUAUCGAAGGAAAUCAAAUAAUGGUAAUACACGCAAAAGGACAAAACUUUCUCUGUCGGAACAAUAAAAUGCGUGAUAAGUUAAGGCAAAAUUCAUUUAAACGUUCCUCCGUUUCUAAUCGUUUCUAUCUCCUUUAUAGAAAAAAAAAAGAAAAAAAACACAAUUAGUAAGAAAAAAAAAAAGAAACGCAAGAAAUAAUCGUGAAAAUUUUUCUUGGAAUUGUUGAAUUACGCGCAAAAGGAACAGGACCCAAAGGUAACGUGGGAUGCGUGCGCAUCUUGCGUACGUAGACUGUGAGAAAGGGCCGAGACCGGGACCGUAUUGGUAGGGAUAUAACCUGCCUCUGCAUCGACGCUUUGACUCAUUAGAGUGUGUAAUCGCGUUGGGUCCGGUACUUAACCUUGGAGUUUCAACGAUUAGUGCGAUUAGAUCGUUCAAGAUUAGAGUAGAUCGAUAUUAGCGUGUUCUCGCAGUAGAUCAUCCUAAACGAUAUAUUGAAAUAUUAAUUAGUGUUAUCAUUAAUUAUUACUACAUACAUAUCAGUACGUGCAGAAUUUUUGAAAGAAAUCGUAGUACUUUCUUUUUAGAUAAAGUGUGUUUUUCGCGGUGUGUGCGUGUGUGAUAUAUUAAGUAGAUAUCAAACAAUUUUUAACUCGUACACCGCGAUUAAAAAAGUUCGAUCGGUUAAUAAUUAUCGCCCAUGUAUUGUCGUUCAUCUAGUCAUACUUGUUUAUUAAUUCCUAAUACGGGCGUGUUAUCACUCGAACCUGAUAUCCUUCUCCGAACCUUCUUUUCAUUCCUUGUUUAGACCUGCUUUUCUCUCUCUCUCUCUCUCUCUCUCUCACACACACACACUCUCUCUCUCUCUCUAUCUAUCUCUAUCUCUCUCUCUCUCUCUCUCUCUCUCUCUCUCUCUCUCUAUUCUCAACGUGCAAACGAAUCUUCCUCCGUGAGUAUCGGAAUAACCCGUGUGCCUUAAUCCGAACCUUUUUACCCAUCUUUUACUCCCGAGUAUGAGCAAAACGAAAUAAAAGUAAAAAAAAAGAAAACAUAAACAAAGUCAAAGGAAUACCAAGGACGAUUUAGAUGCAUAUUAAUCCUAUAGGCAGUAGAGAGUUGUGUGUCGAUCGCUAGAGAAUCCGCCGAUCUUCGUUCUCUGGGUUGUUCAAAGUGACCGGGGCGAAAGGACGACGUGAUCAGGAAAAUGGCAAAGGGAACACCAGGGAAAGCACAUCGAUUAGUAAAUAAUAAUAAUAAUAAUAAUUAUGACGAUAAUAAAGAUACAUACACGUUAGAAAAUA